GGCAAACCCACCGCAAACCACACCCCAACCCUCCCCAGCCCCAGCCCCCCACUCCAAUCCAGCCCUUCAGAGACGAUCAGCUAAAAUCAGUGAUUGAGAACAUAUUGGAAAGAAGUGAGACACGGAAAGAAUGAAUCACAAAGAUGGCGCUGAUACUUGGGGUUCUCAAAGGCCAGAAACGCCCCCUUGGGAUGCAUCAGAGUACAGUCAACUCAUCUCUGCAGGGCCGUUGCUGCCACUACUAGAACAAUAUGCAGACAUUGGUUCUUAUGACCAAAACACUCUCAGGGGGCCCCCGUGGCAAGUUCAGUCACAAGGCGCUAACACUGACAAAUGUACGGGUAGCCAACUUCAACUAGCUAAUAUGGCUAAUCAAG